AAGGGGUGAUGGGGCUGGAAAGGCUUAACAUACAGUUUUUCACAAAGCAUAUUUACAAGAGCAUAAUAGUCAGUAAAAAAGGUGAAAUACUAUCUAGCCUAUUUAAUUCAACCAACAAAAAGUGCCCAACAAAAUGGAAGGAUCCUAGGUUGAAUCAAUCUUAGAGAAAGUGCUUGAACUUCAUUCCAUAUUCACCUACAAAAAGAAAAGGAUGAGUAUACAAAAAAGGAUAACCAACUAUAGUAGUACAACUUACUAGAUGAAAGGAUGAGCUACCAGGAGACUUGAUCCUAUAAAGUGUUGCAGUCUUACACCAUCUAUCAAAAAGCUCAGCUGGGAAAAAGAAAGAUCAAACAAAGAAACAGUGAAAUAAAAAACAAGAAAGAAAAGGAAAAAAUAACUCUUGAUAGCUGAUAAAGCAUGAAAUGGUAGGUUUAAACCAAGAAUGUUGAUCACCCUAAGAAGAAGAGUAAUGAAUGUGGAGUUAGCAUGUGGCGACAACAUCGAUACAGAUGUAAGGGUUAGG
rnacentral:lncRNA from 1 species